GCCGGGUUUAACAACACUGUCUCAAAGCCCAGGACUUUCAUUAAUGACGCCUGAAAAUCUCCUCCACCAUCCAUUCCCCUCCCAAAAAUGCACCCUCGGUUGCCCCAUCCUGGACCGCUGUCUCAGCGGCGGUGUCCCAUGCAAUUCAAUCACAGAAAUUGUUGCCGAAAGCGGCUCCGGCAAGACGCAACUCUGCCUGCAACUCUCCCUCUGCGCUCAACUCCCAGUCUCCCUAGGCGGCCUCUCUGCUUCCGCUCUCUACUUCCACACCGAAUUUUCUUUUCCGUUUCGCCGCCUCAACCAACUGUCCCAUUGUUUCCAAUCUUUAUACCCUCAAGUUUUUAUUAGUGAUGCCGUUAAUAGUAGUAAGAAUGGUAAUUGUAAUCCAUGUGACAAUAUAUAUGUACAAAGUGUACACUCUGCAGAUCAACUGCUCGAUAUGAUGCCCAAGAUAGAAUCGUUUAUUGGAAAUUCUAAAACCCAUUUUCCUGUUAGGCUAAUUGUGAUUGAUUCAGUUGCAGCGCUUUUUAGGUCUGAGUUUGGUAAUACAACAAGCGAUCUAUGGAGGAGGUCAUCGCUGCUCUUUAAGAUAUCUGGGAAAUUGAAGGUGCUGGCGAAGAGAUAUAAUUUGGCAGUGGUGGUGACUAAUCAGGUGGUGGAUUUUGUGGGUUCAGGCGAGGGAGUAAAUGGAGUGAGGAUUGGAAAUUUGGGUAGCUUGUGUUCUUCUGGGAGGAGGGUUUGUCCGGCAUUGGGGUUGGCCUGGGCUAGUUGUGUGAAUUCCAGGCUUUUCUUGGCGAGGGAUGAGAAUGGCUUGGUGGAUGGGGAUGAAAGUAGUUUUCCGUAUUGGCAAACAACUAGGCGGCUUCAUAUUAUCUUUGCGCCGCACUUGCCCUAUUCGUCGUGUGAACUAGUCAUCAGGAGAGAAGGGGUUUUUGGAAUUGACAGAUAAUGGCCAGUUUUUGUACAAGAUUACUUCUUUUGAAGGAACUGGAUGGAAGUUUUGGGAAUGCUACCCUCUAUUUCAUAUUUUCAUACUUACAGAGAAACAAAUGGUGUUGCAGAUGGUUUGACUAAGAUUGGAGUAUCAUAAUUUCGUAUCUGGUUGAAAUGCACAAGUAUAACUGGAAUUAACUACCUUGAUCUUGACACAAGUUAAUUGAGGAUUUUCCAUAUUUGGUGUUUUCACAGCAUCAGUUGCGUUUCCAGAAGCUGUUUCAUCCUAUUGUGCAGAAUGAGAAAAACUGAACAUGAGAUUAAUAUUGUUGAGGUUUUGUAUGAAUAGAUUCCAAGUUAUGUUAGUGCUGUAAUCAAGCAACUUUGCUGGAUAUGAAAGUCUUUUUCUUUUUAUUUCAGGUACUAUUUAUUUUGAGAAUCAACAGCAAAUAGAAAAUGAUUUCUCAACGGUGAGUCUUGCUAAGCAGGCAUCAAAUUGAAAAACUUAUCAUCUUACACUGUUUACAGAGAUUCCAUUUUGUGGUUCCUGCUUGCUUCUGCUUCAAAUAUCCUAUCUUAAGCUUGAAAGACAAGCAGACUUCUCAUCGUAAUGUUCCUUCUGAGUGCCAGUUACUCUACCCUACAAUGCAUUUCAGCUGCUGAAUUUUAUCUGCUUUUAAUUUCCUGUAACUGGCAUCCUGGUCUUACAUUGAUGCGAUUAUCAGCUUAUGAGCAAGUAGCAACACUCCACUUUGUGCAGUUUUAGGCCUAAUUUUUGUGGUCUCAUUUGUAUAUAUAUUCUUUCUUGAUGCUGAUACAUGAUAGGCAUCUAAUGCCUUUCAAUAUUCCUUGCACCAGAUUAAUAAUUUUAAUGCAGUUACGCAUAAGGUGG
rnacentral:misc_RNA from 1 species